GACGAACGCUGGCGGCGUGCUUAACACAUGCAAGUCGAACGGAAAGGCCCUGCUUUUGUGGGGUGCUCGAGUGGCGAACGGGUGAGUAACAAGCGAGUAACCUGCCCUUGACUUUGGGAUAACUUCAGGAAACUGGGGCUAAUACCGGAUAGGAGCUCCUGCUGCAUGGUGGGGGUUGGAAAGUUUCGGCGGUUGGGGAUGGACUCGCGGCUUAUCAGCUUGUUGGUGGGGUAGUGGCUUACCAAGGCUUUGACGGGUAGCCGGCCUGAGAGGGUGACCGGCCACAUUGGGACUGGGAUACGGCCCAGACGCCUACGGGAGGCAGCAGUGGGGAAUAUUGCACAAUGGGCGGAAGCCGGAUGCAGCAACGCCGCGUGCGGGAGGACGGCCUUCGGGUUGGAAACAGCUUUCGCCUGUGACGAAGCGUGAGUGACGGUAAUGGGUAAAGAAGCACCGGCUAACUACGG
rnacentral:rRNA from 1 species